UACAGAGGUGGCAAGCGUUGUUCGGAAUUACUGGGCGUAAAGGGCUCGUAGGCGGCCAACUAAGUCAGACGUGAAAUCCCUCAGCUUAACUGGGGAACUGCGUCUGAUACUGGAUGGCUUGGAUCCGGAAGAGGGAUGCGGAAUUCCACGUGUAGCGGUGAAAUGCGUAGAGAUGUGGAGGAACACCAAUGGCGAAGGCAGCCUUCUGGGCCAACACUGACGCUCAUGCACGAAAGCGUGGGGAGCAAACAGG
rnacentral:rRNA from 1 species